GGAUGGGUGAUGAGUCCCACAAAUGCAUUCCUUGGAAAUCUGAACAAAAUGAUUGAGA
rnacentral:snoRNA from 1 species